UCGAGGAUCUUCGGCAAUGAGCGCAAGCUUGACCGAGCGACGCCGCGUGUGGGAUGAAGGCCUUCGGGUUGUAAACCACUGUCAGAGGGGACGAAAUAUCGUGGGGUACUCUUCACGAUUUGACAGAUCCUCAGAGGAAGGGUGGGCUAAGUUCGUGCCAGCAGCCGCGGUAAGACGUACCACCCGAACGUUAUUCGGAUUCACUGGGCUUACAGAGUCCGUAGGCGGUCGAGAAAGUUGGAUGUGAAAUACCUCAGCUCAACUGAGGAAUUGCGUUCAAAACUACUUGGCUAGAGAGAUACAGAGGUGAGCGGAACUGAUGGUGGAGCGGUGAAAUGCGUUGAUAUCAUCAGGAACACCGGUGGCGAAAGCGGCUCACUGGGUAUCUUCUGACGCUGAGGGACGAAAGCUAGGGGAGCGAACGG
rnacentral:rRNA from 1 species